rnacentral:rRNA from 1 species
GACGAGGGGUCCUAGCGUUGUUCGGAAUCACUGGGCGUAAAGCGUAUGUAGGCGGCUUGACAAGUCGGGUGUGAAAUCCCAUGGCUCAACCAUGGAACUGCACUCGAAACUGUCGAGCUUGAGUAUUAGAGAGGAUGACAGAAUUCCUGGUGUAGUGGUGAAAUACGUAGAUAUCAGGAGGAACACCGGUGGCGAAGGCGGUUAUCUGGCUAAAUACUGACGCUGAGAUACGAAAGUGCGGGGAUCAAACAGG